rnacentral:rRNA from 1 species
CCUUCGGGUGUAGCGGCGGACGGGUUAGUAACGCGUGGGAACGUGCCCUUCUCUACGGAAUAGCCUCGGGAAACUGAGAGUAAUACCGUAUACGCCCUUCGGGGGAAAGAUUUAUCGGAGAAGGAUCGGCCCGCGUCUGAUUAGAUAGUUGGUGGGGUAAUGGCCUACCAAGUCUACGAUCAGUAGCUGGUUUUAGAGGAUGAUCAGCAACACUGGGACUGAGACACGGCCCAGACUCC